rnacentral:rRNA from 1 species
UCCGGUUGAACCUGCCGGACCCCACUGCUAUCGGGGUGGGACUAAGACAUGGAAAACGAGCGCCUCCAAGCCACGGUGGAGGCGCGGCGCACAGCUCAGUAACACGUGGCUAACCUACCCUUGGGACAGGGACAACCCCGGGAAACUGGGGCUAAUCCCCGAUAGGUGAGGACUCCUGGAAUGGGUCCUCGCUGAAAGGGCGUCUAGACCAUGCUUCUAGACGCUGCCCAAGGAUGGGGCCGCGGCCGAUCAGGUUGUUGGUGAGGUAACGGCUCACCAAGCCUAAGACCGGUACGGGCCGUGAGAGCGGGAGCCCGGAGAUGGACACUGAGACAAGGGUCCAGGCCCUACGGGGCGCAGCAGUCGCGAAACCUCCGCAAUACGCGAAAGCGUGACGGGGCCACCCCGAGUGCCGUCCGCUGAGGACGGCUUUUCCCCAGUGUAGACAGCUGGGGGAAUAAGGGGAGGGCAAGUCGGGUGUCAGCCGCCGCGGUAAUACCCGCUCCCCGAGUGGUGGGGACGCUUAUUGGGCCUAAAGCAUCCGUAGCCGGCUGGACAAGUCCCCUGUUAAAUCCAGCGAUUUAAUCGCUGGACUGCGGGGGAUACUGUCCAGCUAGGGGGCGGGAGAGGCCGGCGGUAUUCCCGGGGUAGGGGUGAAAUCUUAUAAUCCCGGGAGGACCACCAGUGGCGAAGGCUGCCGGCUGGAACGCGCCCGACGGUGAGGGAUGAAAGCUGGGGGAGCGAACCGGAUUAGAUACCCGGGUAGUCCCAGCUGUAAACGAUGCGGGCUAGGUGUUGGCACGGCUACAAGCCGUGUCAGUGCCGCAGGGAAGCCGUUAAGCCCGCCGCCUGGGGAGUACGGCCGCAAGGCUGAAACUUAAAGGAAUUGGCGGGGGAGCACCACAAGGGGUUUUCUUGCGGUUUAAUUGGAUUCAACGCCGGG